CGCCGCCCCCGCUGCCAUGGCCGCCCGCAGAGUUUGGAGUAUGUGAGGAGCUGCCAGAGGAAUCACUCAUCUUUUAAUUUCUGCUUCAUCAGAUGCUCCUGCCCUGCCCUGUGCCUCCAGGAGUGUGACCCCCCCCAGUCCUGGGACACCCCACAGCUGAGAUGGUGGCCUUUAACUGGAAGGCUCUGGAGAACUUCCCACUGCUGAUGUACAUUUUGGCAGCUAAAACAUUGAUCCUUUGCUUGGCCUUUGCUGGAGUCAAAAUGUACCAGAGCAAGAAAAUUGAGCAGAAACUGAAGAGGGAACGUGAGGAGAAACUGAAAGCAGAAGGAGAGAAGAAGGAUGAGUGAAGAGUGCCUCAGGUUCCUGACACUUGGAAUCCCUUCCCAGGAGGAUGAAGCCUUCCUGGAAAAGAAGGAUGGGUAACCUCAGAGUGACACUUAAAUUAUCUCUGUUUUUAUAUGUACAGCAAAGCAGCUGAGCCUCUAUUUAUGCAAUAAAAAAAGUCUUUGUUUAAAAAAUAAA